CUUUACAACGUUUCGCAAGGCUCGAGCAAUAACAAAGUAUAGAUUUGAGAAAUUAUGAAGCAAAUCAAAAGUUUAUUAAAAUGUGUGAAAGGGAACAUAUUUUGCUACAAAUAACUGCAUAUUAAUGUUACAUAGUGUCUUCAAUGGAAAUCUAUAAUCCAUGCAUUGAUCCAAUCUUAUAUGUUGUCAAGUGAUUAGUGAAAGGCCUAUUUGGGCUUGAUGUCAAAUACUUUCCAAAUGAUGCUUCAAAUACUUUUCAUCAGUUUAAUCCUGCAAGAAUUAACCAGUUAUACUGAGGCAUUUUGAAACCAAUCUGAACUCGGUUGUUUUACCUGGUUAUAAUCGGCAUUAGCUUAACCCUUAAGUUCCGAAGUACACCUUUAAGUGUUUUUAAACAUACCUAUAAAUAUAUGAUUUCAAGUCAAUGAUCCACAGCAGUCCGGAAAAACAACAUCUUUACAUGGGUUAUAUUAUAAACUUUGCUUGUAUUUUUUUCUUCAAAAAAUCAGUAACAUUUGAUUUCCUGAGGUCGUUAAAUGACACAAUCCCAAGUUAAAAACAUUAAUGAGCUCAAAAACAGUAAGACUAAUGAUUCUUAUUAAAAAUAACUGAUUUCUUAUGAAUGUAUAUA
rnacentral:lncRNA from 1 species